UGCCAGCAGCCGCGGUAAUACGUAGGGUGCAAGCGUUAAUCGGAAUUACUGGGCGUAAAGCGUGCGCAGGCGGUUCGCUAAGACAGAUGUGAAAUCCCCGGGCUUAACCUGGGAACUGCAUUUGUGACUGGCGGGCUAGAGUAUGGCAGAGGGGGGUAGAAUUCCACGUGUAGCAGUGAAAUGCGUAGAGAUGUGGAGGAAUACCGAUGGCGAAGGCAGCCCCCUGGGCCAAUACUGACGCUCAUGCACGAAAGCGUGGGGAGCAAACAGGAUUAGAUA
rnacentral:rRNA from 1 species